CUAGGAAUCUUGGGAAUGGGCGAAAGCCUGACCCAGCAACGCCGCGUGGGCGAUGAAGGCCUUCGGGUCGUAAAGCCCUUUUGCGGGGGACGAUAAUGACGGUACCCCGCGAAUAAGCCACGGCUAACUACGUGCCAGCAGCCGCGGUAAUACGUAGGUGGCAAGCGUUGUCCGGAUUUACUGGGCGUAAAGGGCGUGCAGGCGGUUUGUUAAGUCUAGGGUGAAAGCUCCCGGCUCAACUGGGAGAGGUCCUUGGAUACUGGCGAACUUGAGGGAUGCAGAGGAAAGUGGAAUUCCCGGUGUAGUGGUGAUAUGCGUAGAUAUCGGGAGGAACACCAGUGGCGAAGGCGGCUUUCUGGGCAUUUCCUGACGCUGGGACGCGAAAGCGUGGGGAGCGAACCGGAUUAGAUACCCGGGUAGUCCACGCCGUAAACGAUGGACACUAGGUGUAGGGGGUAUCGACCCCCUCUGUGCCGCAGCUAACGCAAUAAGUGUCCCGCCUGGGGAGUACGGCCGCAAGGCU
rnacentral:rRNA from 1 species